rnacentral:tRNA from 1 species
ACUAUUUUGGCAGAUAAGUGCGUUAGAUUUAGAAUCUAUUAAUGUAAGGUUACUUUACAGGUAGUA